rnacentral:lncRNA from 1 species
UUGUGUUUUCUCCAGGCUAGAUCUCUUCCCUGACCUGGCUGAUGGUGUGGGCUCAGAAACAGUUGUGAUUGACCAGAGGGGGAACUGGGGAUGGUGACUUUUGGUACCAGCCAUUUUAGUGAAGGAGCCAAAAGAAAGAGAAGCCUGGAAAAACUAAAGCUGCAAGAACAGGAGCACGUUUGGAAAAGGGGGGAAAAGAGACGGGGUUGAAAGAAAAACACGUGGUGAUGAAAAGAAGUUCGAGAGAGGAAAAAGAAAGCUAAGCUCAAGAGGAGAGAAGAGAGGCAGAUAGAUGGAGAUAAGAAACAUCCCCCAAAGCAGCAGAAGGUACCAGCUGAAG